rnacentral:lncRNA from 1 species
AUGAUUUUAGCUAUUAAGAAAAGACGGGCCAAGCAGCAAGCCCAAUGCAUUAUUCUGGCCGCGUCUUUUUGAAAUAGUGCUACCAAUGCUAGAUUGGGCUCGAAACUGAGCCCAAGCGUGAAGCGAGGACUCAAAGACAAACUCAGGUCUUUGGUUUUUGACCAGGUUGUCUCGCUUGGGCUAAAUGUCAGGUCCAACUUUGAGAGGAAGGCCUUAAUAUACUGAGGCCUCAUUUGACCUUCAUAUUCCCUCCAAUACACCAAACAGCAAAUAUCAUAAUUCUGUAUAUCAACAUAAUGAAUAACUAUACUAUAAACUUAAUUUGUUGUAUUAACAUUCCGUGGUACUAGCUUGAACUAGUUUAAUUGAACAAAACAUUAAGCCUAGGAAAGGAAAUUUUAACUAAACUUCAACUUUGAAAUCAAUAGCAAUUACAUUAAAACUUCAUGUUGUAUUUACCGCAAUUAGGUAGAUAACCAUAUUAGUAAAUCCACCAGCUAUCUUCACUAAAUCUAAAACGACCAAUAAAAUUUACAUUUUUUAUCCAAGAUGGUAUAUAUUAUAGAUGCCAAAGGACAACAAUUGCGGAUUACCUUAAACUGAAAAUAUGCAUAUUUAACAUUGGAGGAUUUCAACUGAUUUAUUACAAUAACAUUCUAACUUCAAAGAGAAUACAACUCCCAUGAAAUUGGUAGCCUAGUGAACACUUGCCCCUUUUAGAUAUGAUCUAUCCACCAAAGCCUUAGUCCACCACAUGGAGGCCAUCAAUUUCAGCAUAGCAUUAAUAGUGGCAAGAUCCACAAAUGAUUAGCAACACAAACCCCCGAUGACAUCAAGUAAAUACCAUGUUAUUCAUCACACAUGCAGAAGAAUAAAAGAAAACUACAUCAGCUAUAAGUUCAGAAUCAGUGUUUGAUACUGUAAAAUUUUAACUAAAAGAAACAACUUCAAACAAACAAGACCACUAAAGUCAGCACUUCACAUCUUUAAGAGAAAAGCUACAAGUAUUAAUGUACCAACCAAGAUACUUACACUAGAUCAUUUCAACCUUAAACCCACAUGACAAAAGAUUAAUCAGAUCUAUAGCAGUAUAAUCAGUAACUAACAUGAAAUGAAACUCAUUUAUCACAAACAAGUAGACCAUAACUGUAGCUUUUGAUAUUAUAACAAUUAAAACAUAUAAUACAUUAAUAAGGAUGAAAUCAGUACCUUAAAACAGCAAAAACCAAAAGGAAAACAAAGUAAAAUUCUAGCUGGAACUAGAGAGGAAACAAUAGCAAGAAACAGAUCAGCACCACAGGAAAUCAGCCAAGAAACCAAAGAAACAAAAGCUUAUUUGAAUGCCCAGAAUUAGAGUAGAUAGUAUUAGGGUGAAGAAUUAGGAAUCUUUUUUUUUAAAAAAAAACUGAUGUUGAUAGCAAGAAAAUGCACGAACCUUUUCUUUUUUUCUCUUCUAUGUAUUCAGAGGAACUUUUAGGGUGAAUAUGCAAAUGAUAAUCUGUGUCUGAGAACGAGUGAAGGUCUAUCCUUUAUAUGGUAUAUAAAAAAUAGCAUCAAAAAGAAUAUUCUACCAUAAAUUCCCUAAAAGUCAGAUAGUACAGCAUAUUUGAACAGCCGUCUGUCCUUUUUAGCCCAAUUUCAGCAUUUUUCAUGCUAAAAAUGAGGAUAGUUAUACAAUGCUAGAACAUUAUGAUAUUUUACCCAUUUUUAAUUCUAGUUUUACUUUUUAAGUUUUGAUUAUUUCAAUUUAACCAAUCUGACCUAAAUUCUGAUUUCAAAACCUUUGUGGAACCUCCUAGAACAAUCUAGAAGAAUCUAGCAUUGAACUUCCUAAUAUUAUUUUCAAUUGUACCCUCUAAAAGCUUUGGUUAUCAUUUUUAUUUCUGAAAUUAAUUUAAACUUAAAGCAUCCGGAGUUUAAUCCAAAUAGCCUAACUAAUCAGUAAAUUAAAAUGCUUAUCUAAUUAACCCUAAAAAACUGAAUUUAAAGAGACCAUCCUAGUAGAAGCAGUAAUAGAACAUAAGAACCAAAAUAGAAACGAAACUUAAUAAUUAUCUAUAAUUGAUUAAAUUAAACAAACUAUAAAACUAAGUUAAUGUAUAACAACUAACCAUGCUCUGAAUAAUUUUAAUACUAGCCUAGCAGUGAACUAAUUAACUUAUAGACAAACGACUAAAGUAACCUAUGGGUAUACAUAUGCAAUAUUAGGAAACAAGAAUAAGCAUAAAGAAAACAAGGAAAAGGUCAGAAAAUAUAUCAAAAGAGGUUCUGGUAACUCAGGACUCCUUCGAAAUAGCUCCCAAAAAAUAUUAACCAAUCGUUCUUACUGUGAACGAUUGAUUAACAUAGGUUUGAACCUAAAUCGAGUCUGGAAAACCCCGAAGAAACUUGAAAAACGAGGGAAAAAACAAUUAGGAUUUCUGUUUUUCCUAAAUCUGGGAUUUGAGGAAAUUGAAUGGGAUCUUUUGGGAAAUCAAUGGUAGGAUAAUGGUGAGUGAAGGUUGAAGGUAGUUUGGUGUGAUUUUGGGAUUUUUCCAAACGGUUUAGGGUUUGGGGUAAAUUCUCAUAUUUGAAAUUGGAGGAUUUUGAUGGGGUUUUUGGUGAAACGGUUGGUGGACUAAGGUUUGAGGGAGGUUAAGGAUUAUCUGAUACAGUUGUUGGGGUAGUUUUGAAGCGGUCUGCCGUCGUAGGGCGAUUUCCAGGCGGCAAAAUAUAGUGGAGACAGUGAGGGGUGAGAGAGCAUCUAGGUUUUGGCCUUUAGGGUUGAGAGAGACGAAGAGUGAAGUGAGUUUUAGGGUUU